rnacentral:rRNA from 1 species
UACGGGGGGAGCAAGCGUUGUUCGGAUUUACUGGGCGUAAAGGGCGCGUAGGCGGCCUGUUAAGUCGAACGUGAAAUCCCCGGGCUCAACCCGGGAACUGCGUCCGAUACUGGCAGGCUUGAAUCCGGGAGAGGGAUGUGGAAUUCCAGGUGUAGCGGUGAAAUGCGUAGAUAUCUGGAGGAACACCGGUGGCGAAGGCGGCAUCCUGGACCGGUAUUGACGCUGAGGAGCGAAAGCGUGGGGAGCGAACAGG